GAUGAAGAACGUAGCGAAAUGCGAUAAGUAGUGUGAAUUGCAGAAUUCAGUGAAUCAUCGAAUCUUUGAACGCACAUUGCGCCCGCCAGUAUUCUGGCGGGCAUGCCUGUUCGAGCGUCAUUUCAACCCUCAAGCCCAGCUUGGUGUUGGGAUCUGUCCUUACCGACAGUCCCCAAAUUGAUUGGCGGUCACGUCGAGCUUCCAUAGCGUAGUAAUUUACACAUCGUUACUGGUAAUCGUCGCGGCCACGCCGUUAAACCCCAACUUCUGAAUGUUGACCUCGGAUCAGGUAGGAAUACCCGCUGAACUUAAGCAUAUCAAUAAGCGGAGGA
rnacentral:misc_RNA from 1 species